AUGGCUCCUCCCCCCUCGCCGUGCCUCCUCUGCGCCUCCCUCCCGCGCCUCAUCUCCUCGCUCCUCGCCCUGCACCAGCGGGAGAUGAAGCGGCUGCUGGAGGGCGCCAUGGCAACGGUGGAGCGCCGGCUGAGCGCCCUGGAGGAGGCGGAGCCGGCGGCCGGUCCCAGCCAAUCGGGGAAGAGGAGGCGGCGGAGGGAGGAGAAGGAGACGAGGAGGAAACGCAGGAAGAACGGCCAAUCAGAGGAGAGCGCCGUCUCCGAGAGCCAAUCAGGGGAGAGCGCAUUCGCCGAGGGCCAAUCAGAGAAGAGCGUGUGUGCUGUCGUCAGGCGGAACGGGUUCUCGUCCCAUGAUCCUCUGGGGGCGACGGGGACGUGGCGUUUCUCAGACUCCGCCCCUCGCUCGUAUCGCCGUGGCGACGCGAGGGCGGCGCUGUCGUGGCUGCUGACGUCGCCCGGACACGCCCCCGUGCGGUUGCCUUGGCGCCUGUCGGUGGUCGCCGUGGAGACGUCGACGGGCGCCACCCUGAGCGGCGUCGGGCGGCUCCGGAGCGCCCCCUGCAGGACCACAGCGCACCACCGUACAUCGCCGUGGACCACAGUUACAUGUGUCUGUCUGCGCCCAGCCUGGUGA
rnacentral:lncRNA from 1 species